GAUGAACGCUGGCGGCGUGCCUAAUACAUGCAAGUCGAGCGAAUGGAUUAAGAGCUUGCUCUUAUGAAGUUAGCGGCGGACGGGUGAGUAACACGUGGGUAACCUGCCCAUAAGACUGGGAUAACUCCGGGAAACCGGGGCUAAUACCGGAUAACAUUUUGAACCGCAUGGUUCGAAAUUGAAAGGCGGCUUCGGCUGUCACUUAUGGAUGGACCCGCGUCGCAUUAGCUAGUUGGUGAGGUAACGGCUCACCAAGGCAACGAUGCGUAGCCGACCUGAGAGGGUGAUCGGCCACACUGGGACUGAGACACCGCCCAGACUCCUACGGGAGGCAGCAGUAGGGAAUCUUCCGCAAUGGACGAAAGUCUGACGGAGCAACGCCGCGUGGGUGAUGAAGGCUUUCGGGUCGUAAAACUCUGUUGUUAGGGAAGAACAAGUGCUAGUUGAAUAAGCUGGCACCUUGACGGUACCUAACCAGAAAGCCACGGCUAACUACGUGCCAGCAGCCGCGGUAA
rnacentral:rRNA from 1 species